UGGACCUGUGGAACAGCAAAACGCUAAGCUAACCCAAGAAGCCCCUUCCUUGAAAAAGAUUUCCAAGCCACUGGGAGACCACAAACUACUGAACCAAGGAGCAGUUCAACUGAAUAGAACUUUCAGCUUUCUAAGUUUGCCCAUCCAGGGCCCCUCCCUCCUCCAUCCUCAGCAAGAGAAAUAUUGUGACCAAAAUGGAAAGAAGUUUGUACAGGAUCCAGCCAGCCAGCCACCCGCUCACCCACCUAUCCUUCACUGAGAACUGAGCUCCAUACCAGUCAAUGAUUUCAAAGUUCCUCAGAUGUCUGAAGAGUUCAUCAGUCCAGCUGACUCUCAAGUGCCAUGGGACACUACUCUCUGAUCAUGGCUUUGACACUGUCCGUUUCCUGCCACAAGCAGCUCCACAAAACAUCCCUUUCCCUACCCUCCUUCUGAGGCCAGACUUCCCAUCUUGGUAUUAGAUGCCUCUGACCUGCAGAGCGUGAUCCAAAGCAAAGGCACGUGCACCCACAGUCAAGGUUAGCUGGAGGGAGGGGCAAGGCAGGAAGAGUCGGAAGGCAAGGCCACAGAGCAGACUUUGGUAGCAAAUGUCAGAGAGGAGGCAAAGAUCGCUUCCCCCAGCCCUGGCUAAGCUCUUGGCUGAAGCCCCAGGGAGACAGCAAGCUCCAAGUCCUCCCCCAUCCGCCACUUCCCUAAAUGAAGCAAAUAACUAACAAUGCAAGGAGGUGUGGGGGAGUCAGGCCCAGCCACUGGGAAUCUAUUUUCUCAAAACACAUGGCCAAUGUCUGAGCCAAGUGCUGGCAGAGCCAAAGAAACAAAUCUCUUUUAUUUCCCCAAGUCCAUAGCACCCUACUUUCCCCCCGCUUGUCCUCUCCUCCUGGCCAUCUGACCCAUGUGUCCUAUGGCCUUCUCCCUGUGAGAUGAGCAGCCUGUGUCCCCAACUUCGACCACUGCUCUGGUCACCUCCUGCUCACUGGGGCACCAGGGAGGAAGUCAGUGGGUGGGGACAGGAGCACAUGGCCUAUCCAGCCUCCCCCAGAAGCUCUUGGCCACCUUUGUGACGCACCACUAAUUCAAUCCUCUGCCCUCCUUUCUCCAAAUCAGAGGGCCCCAGUUAAGCCUUACUGGCGAAGGGGACCCCAUCAGCCCCGGCUCAACCCCUCCCUUAGCUCCCCCAGGGCCCUCCUUAGGGCCAAAGCUCAGUUCAGUGUUCCUGGAGGAGGAAGGAGAGGAUAGAGAGGAGAAAAGCCCAGGACGGAAAUGAAGAUGACAUCUCUGCAAUGUGAUAUCACACAGGCUUUCAGAUCCCCCGCACGAACAGAGAACAGAAGCAAACAACAUGGACUCCAGAUUUACUCUGCUCCCAAGUUCUUCCUAAAGGACAGUGUUUCUGUUGGCUGGAGGUGCCCAGGAGAACACACUGAAUGAAGCGGGAUAAUAUCAAUGACCCACUGGUGUCACCUGUGUCCUGUUCACUGACCGCAUGGCAGGGCUUCUGUCUACUGACUGGAUCUUCACAGGCACAACUACAUCAAGGAACAAAAGAUGCUCACAGGAGUAAGACAUCAUCUGUCCCCUCACGGUACCCACUCAUGGAAAAACACCUAAGUGUUUAAAGUACACUGGAAUCCAGGCAUGGUUUUCACAUACAUAAUGUGUGUUCCUUCAUUUAACCCUCACGUCCACUGUACAUCCACUGUAAAUGAGGAAAUUGAGGCAUCUUGGGGAUUAAUUUUUCCCAGAUCACACAGAUAAUAGAGGAGCCAAGACUUAUUAUCCCCCCAACAUUCUGACUGCAGGGUCCCUGGUGCCUCCAGAAGUGGCUGCAGUCAAAGAAAGAGGAGCCAGAAAGCAUUGUCAGGACGCAUCCAUCACAGGUGCUUAGAGAUGCUUGGAAGGAAAAAAAAGCUACACAUUAGCCGGAGAGGUACUUGUGUCUGAAGAGUUCAAGAAAAGAGAAGGGAUCAUGAAAAGGUCUUCUAAGUUACCCCUUGUAGUGUGAAUGUGUUGACAAGCUCCAGCCAUCAGGUACUCUGGAGACCCCUUUAAACAGCUCUAGAGUUAACAGUCAUGAUACUGUCCAUGUUUCUGAAUCACGAAUGCCAAGCAGCUAAUGCCCCACUGGUUUCCACUGUGGCCUCUCCAGGUCCAACAGCAUCUCAUCCGCAGGAAGUGUCUGGGGCUGUCCGAAGACUCAUACUGAUGGGCUCUGCCCUACUGUAACCUGAAACUUCUCAUUAAUAUUGUAUCUCUCACAAGGAGACUAGUGAUGUCUACAUAAUUAAAACCCAAAGCAAGAAAUGGCCAUCAGGAUAAAGAAAAAGAAGCUGAGGAUUUGGGUGGCUCCAUUAGAAUGUCCCCUCUGUGCAGGCGAACGAACACUGCCACUAGGUCACAGAGCAUCGUGAACAGGGAAUACGUAAGAGAAAAGCCUCCCAGGCCCAAAGGCACCUGAGCUCGCUGGGCUUAGAUCUCCAUCAGUUAAGACCCAUUUCACCACGCAUGCGACUUUCACUCCCAAGUUUCUUACAACCCAAAUAGAAUUUGGGUCUCUUGUAUCCAAUUAGGAAAACUGGCACCUGGAUAUUACCUUUUUCUUUUCUAAAUGUCCCCAACCAUCCAGUCUAGAUUUUCAGCCAUAAUCAAACAUAAAUCCACUGAACGAUCUAAUACCAAUAGUUCUCUAAAUUCGCUAUACUUUAGAUGCCUCUGGAGGUUUUAAUAUACCAGGUCACAUCCCAAACCAAUUAAAUCAGAAUGUCAGGGGGUAGGAAAUGAGUGAUUCUGUCUUUGGAUUUUAAUUUCCAUUUUUAUUGGUAAGUUUGCAGUACGUAAUGAUUACAUUCAUCAUGGGGCUGUAUUGAUUCUUAAUAAAUAUUAAACUUUC